rnacentral:rRNA from 1 species
UAUUCCCACCUCCUUGAGGGGUUAAGGCUCCCAGUAGACGACUGGGUUGAUAGGCCAGAUGUGGAAGCCCUGUGAGGGGUGGAGCUGACUGGUACUAAUAGGCCGAGGGCUUGUCCUCAGUUG